CGUAGUGAACCUGCGGAGGGAUCAUUACAGAGUUAUACAACUCCCAUACCAUCUGUUAACCUACCCAGCUUAUGCCUCGGCGUAAGCUCGGUUGGAGGCACCUGCAGCUACCCUGUAGUUGCGGACUGCCAACUCCAGCCGCGGCCCGCCGGCGGUACACUAAACUCUGUUUUAUUUUAUAUUCUGAGCGUCUUAUUUUAAUAAGUUAAAACUUUCAACAACGGAUCUCUUGGUUCUGGCAUCGAUGAAGAACGCAGCGAAAUGCGAUAAGUAAUGUGAAUUGCAGAAUUCAGUGAAUCAUCGAAUCUUUGAACGCACAUUGCGCCCAUCAGUAUUCUGGUGGGCAUGCCUGUUCGAGCGUCAUUUCAACCCUUAAGCCUAGCUUAGUGUUGGGAAUCUGCUGUACUGCAGUUCCUUAAAGACAGUGGCGGAGCGGCGGUAGUCCUCUGAGCGUAGUAAUUUAUUUCUCGCUUUUGGUCAGGCUCUGUCCUCCCGCCAUAAAACCCCCMAUUUUUWAGUGGGUUGACCUCGGAUUCAGGUARGAAUACCCGCURACUKAAGCAUAUCA
rnacentral:rRNA from 1 species